GAACGCUGGCGGCGUGCCUAAUACAUGCAAGUCGAACGAGAGCGACCGGUGCUUGCACUGGUCAAUCUAGUGGCGAACGGGUGAGUAACACGUGGGUAACCUGCCCAUCAGAGGGGGAUAACAUUCGGAAACGGAUGCUAAAACCGCAUAGGUUCUUUAGUCGCAUGACUGGAGAAGGAAAAGAGGCUUCGGCUUCUGCUGAUGGAUGGAUCCGCGGUGCAUUAGCUAGUUGGUGAGGUAACGGCUCACCAAGGCCGUGAUGCAUAGCCGACCUGAGAGGGUGAUCGGCCACAUUGGGACUGAGACACGGCCCAAACUCCUACGGGAGGCAGCAGUAGGGAAUCUUCCGCAAUGGGCGCAAGUCUGACGGAGCAACGCCGCGUGAGUGAAGAAGGAUUUCGGUUCGUAAAACUCUGUUGUUAGAGAAGAACAGCGCAUAGAGUAACUGUUAUGCGUGUGACGGUAUCUAACCAGAAAGCCACGGCUAACUACGUGCCAGCAGCCGCGGUAAUACGUAGGUGGCAAGCGUUGUCCGGAUUUAUUGGGCGUAAAGCGAGCGCAGGCGGUCAAUUAAGUCUGAUGUGAAAGCCCCCGGCUCAACCGGGGAGGGUCAUUGGAAACUGGUUGACUUGAGUGCAGAAGAGGAGAGUGGAAUUCCAUGUGUAGCGGUGAAAUGCGUAGAUAUAUGGAGGAACACCAGUGGCGAAGGCGACUCUCUGGUCUGUAACUGACGCUGAGGCUCGAAAGCGUGGGUAGCAAACAGGAUUAGAUACCCUGGUAGUCCACGCCGUAAACGAUGAGUGCUAAGUGUUGGAGGGUUUCCGCCCUUCAGUGCUGCAGUUAACGCAUUAGAGGCACUCCGCCUGGGGGAGUACGACCGCAAGGUG
rnacentral:rRNA from 1 species